rnacentral:lncRNA from 1 species
AAACAAUAGAGUUUCACUAGCAUUGGCAAAAGGACACAGGUUUCCUAAAUAGGGUUUUCUGGGCAGCCACAGAACAUACUGGAAUAUGUAUAAUUUCUCACGUUUCGUAAUAAAGGGAGAAAUUAUUGUGUAUAGGGUACUAGCGUAGUAUUUUUUUAAGUUCAUGUCAGUAGGUAUAAGACACAUGACUAACAUUAUAACGGGAAAUUUUUUCCCUGAGAUUAUUACUUUCUAGCCCGCUGCAGACGGCAACAUUCAAGUUCCAUUCAUAUUACUUUGAUACAUGCAUUUAUAUAUUUUUCAAAACAAUACACGUCUGAGUAUGUCUUGUGAGACGACUUGUUGCAUUGGGUCGGAGCAUAUAUGACUGUUUUCAGACCCUUGGGUCGGACCCAGGUUUCCAGUUUCCCAUUAUUGGGUUUGUUUGGUUGUUCCUGGCCCGCGAGGGCGUUCAUUAUCGAGUUAUUCAUUUGUUCAGUUAUUCAGUUUACAUUCAUGUCAACCAUAUUAUAUCUCUUGUUUGUACAAGGUUUACUUUUUCUAGCUAAGUUGUACCUAAUAGUAUAUUUCAAGGUUUUUGUUAUUAGUAGUAAUUGUGGUUAUUGCUUUUUUCAUAUGUUUAUAUAAAUAUAUAUAUAUAUAUACAACUCGUCUAAGCAUCAACCCAACAAUGUUAGAUCUGUAAAUUUGCUUUUGCAAAUUUUUUUGUUCUUCCCUCGCCGGGAUUCGAACCCAUGCUACUGAGAUAUCGUGACACCUAAUCGCCUGCACUGUAGCCGUCCCGCUAGACCACACAACCACCUGG